rnacentral:rRNA from 1 species
UACAGAGGGUGCAAGCGUUGUUCGGAAUUACUGGGCGUAAAGCGCGUGUAGGCGGCUUGGCAAGUCGGGUGUGAAAGCCCUGGGCUCAACCUAGGAAGUGCACUCGAAACUGCUUCGCUUGAGUGUCGGAGAGGAAAGCGGAAUUCUCGGUGUAGAGGUGAAAUUCGUAGAUAUCGGAAGGAACACCAGUGGCGAAAGCGGCUUCCUGGUCCAGCACCGACGUUCAGGCACGAAAGCGUGGGGAGCAAACAGG